CACGCAGGGACCCCGAUGUGGGACUCAAUCCCAGAACUCCGGGAUCACUCCCUGAGCCAAAGCCAGUCACUCAACCACUAAGCCAUCCGGAUGUCCUCCUCUUCUGCCUUUAAAAAAGCCCUGAUCAUCACUCUCAGGGAUCAGUACCAGCAUCAGUCUAGUUGUAUAAACUGAAAAUGGUGGUGCUGCCUGAAGUCCCGUACUGUAUCUCGAACCUGUACCCUUUCCUUUGGGGAAGUGGUUUUCAUUUUAACACCAUCUUGCCAAAGGAUGUAGCAUCUGGAAGGGUUUCUUCUGAAAUACUUCCUGGUUAUCUCCCACUGCUGCCAAGUGCUCUUGGAACCUGUGCUGAAACACCAGCGAGGGGUGGAGAUGCUCAACACUCUCUGAAGUUAAUUCCCAGUGAGGAGAUUCUGCGCGCCCACAUCAUUUUAACGGCUACAGAAAUGACAACUUGCUGGGACACUUGCAGGUUUUGCUGAGAUGCAAAAGACAAGUCCUUCCUGGUAGGACUCCUCCCUGGUUUCCCCCAGCUGCUUCAUGUGUUCACGGCUGUCCCCAAUCCAUUAGCACAAUGCCUGGUACAGGGCAGACAUUAAUAUGAAUUUGUUGAAUGAAUAAAGUGGUAUAAUCCUAAACAUUCACUAGACCAGCUGUCUUGAGUAAAAGCUGACAUUGCACAGUAAACACAGUCAUGAGACGAGAGUAGAGACAAAUGGUUUAUUUGGGAACAAGAAGUAAAAAGGAAUUUUUAAUUCCUCUUCUCUAUUCUCGUAGCUGAACUGAACUGUGAUCGUCAAACACACGAGAACUCCCCUGCAGUCCUUGAACUUGUGCAAGAUGCAGAGAGGCCUGAGUUACAGGACUUGCAGUGAUCCUUUUCUAGACAGAAGUGCCAGCUGUCGUGCUCUGUAAUGUUUCAGGGGUAGCUCCACUGUCUUUCUUGUCUUCAGGUUUCAUGGCAGGAAACAGAAGUACUUCCUGCAAGAGAGAAAACACACUUUGAGGGCCCAAACCAGCCAAGUUCUCCAUCUGGAAAGGUGACUUCCUCCAGUGAAGCUCAUGGCUUUAACCUUCAUCUCUGCUGAAGUCACCAAGAGAUGCAGACAAUGACAAAGACCUGGGUUCAGGCUACACUGUCUAAGGAGUAGGUACAUGAGGCAACACAAUUCCUUUGCUUCCCACCCUACACUUCCUUACCUUAGCCUGUUCUUCAAAUAGCUGCCGCUGCCGCACAGGGUCGUUGAGCUCGGUGUAGGCGUUGCAGAUUUCCUUCUUCAUGACAAACAGCUCAAAGCGCUCAGUCAGACCCUCUUUAGAGCGGUGCCUGGGGACAGGAGCCCAAAGGGGAGGGCUGAAUAUACAGGUUCACCAUAACAUCUGUUACAAAUGCAAGAGUUCCUGAAUUCUAGCUGACUCAUAUGUGUUGUACAUGGAGACCUGAGGCCCGUGAUGCAUUCUGGCACCAAAUCAUUUGGUACGGUAGUGAGGAGGGUGAGAGCCACAGAAGCUUUGAUCAUCUUCACAGCACACCUGUGUGGGAAACGGUUGUACUGAACCAUACCUCCUAUACUCAUGCUCUUCUGUGCCCCGUCACACUGACUCUGGGCUGCCCAUAUGACUUGCUUUGGCCAACUGGACCUCAGCAGAGGCUUGAUAUAUGCUUGCACAUUGGGGUUUGUUCUUUUGGACUCCUUCCUCCUCUUGGAACCUAGCUACUAUGUAAGGAAGCCCAGGCUACACUGCCAGAGAGAGGCUACAUGAGGAAGCUGUGGAGCACGAGAACCCCUGUGGAGAAGAAACAAGGUGCCUGAGUUCCUAGUUACAGCCACUUGAGUUACCUUAGCUACCUAGCUAUCACUCUGUAGAGCAGAAAGACUACCCGAUGAACCCACAAACUCUUGAGAGUUGUUUCAUACCACUAAAUUAUAAAGUUGUUACACAGCAAUAGGUAACUGAAAUACCAUGUUUUAUCUUACCAUUUAGCCAAAGGGCUCAUUAUCUGCGGGUGAUCACAGAUGAAUGUAGGAUUGAUGCAUGUCGUUUCCAGGAACUCCCCGACAAGCUUAAGGAGAAAGCAGAGCUGGAGAUCCUUUCUGAAUGGCAUUUUGAUUGUCCCAGUCUUGGAGGAGGACUCCACUCCUACCUACUACCUGAUGCUAUAGGGGUUUAUCCUAAGCUUCUCUAUGGCUGGGCUUUCCUGAGAGGCUGCAGAAGUUGGUGCUCCACAGUGGAGUUCACCUUCAUAGGGAACAAGGGUCUGAUUACCACCGGAGAGGGCAUGUACUUAAAGAGCAUGGUCUGGGGACACCUGGGUGGCUUAGCGGUUGAGCGUCUGCCUUUGGCUCAGGGCGUGAUCCUGGGAUCUAGGAUGGAGUCCUGCAUCGGGCUCCCUGUGAGGAGCCUGCUUCUCCCUCUGUGCCU